rnacentral:rRNA from 1 species
GAUGAACGCUGGCGGCGUGCCUAAUACAUGCAAGUCGAGCGAACAGAUCAUGAUCUUGCUCCUCUGACGUUAGCGGCGCACGUGUGUGUAACACGUGUAUAACCUACCUAUAAGACUGGUAUAACUUCGGGAAACCGGCUCUAAUCCCGGAUAAUCUAUUGAACCGCAUUGUUCAAUAGUGAAAUACGGUUUUUCUGUCUCUUCUAGAUGCUUCCGCGCCGCAUUAGCUAGUUGUUACGGUAACGGCUUACCAAGGCAACGAUGCGUAGCCGACCUGAGAGGGGGAUCGGCCACACUGGAACUGGGACACGGUCCAGACUCCUAAGGGAGGCAGCAGUAGGGAAUCUUCCGCAGUGGGCGAAAGCAUGACGGAGCAACGCCGCGUGAGUGAUGAAGGUCUUCGGAUCGUAAAAAUCUGUUAUUAGGGAAAAACAAAUGUGGAAGUAACUAUGCACGGCUUGACGGUACCUGAUCAGAAAGCCACGGCUAACUACGUG